rnacentral:rRNA from 1 species
GACGAACGCUGGCGGCGCGCUUAACACAUGCAAGCCGAGCGAGAACCAGACCUUCGGGUCUGGGGACAGCGGCGAACGGGUGAGUAACACGUGGGUAAUCAACCCUCGGUACUGGGAUAGCCCGGGGAAACCCGGAUUAAUACCGGAUGGCCCUUCGGAUCUUCGGUUCUGAAGGAAAAGGUAGCUUCGGCCUCCGACCGAGGACGAGCCCGCGGCGGAUUAGCUUGUUGGUGGGGUAACGGCCUACCAGGGCGACGAUCCGUAGCUGGUCUGAGAGGACGAUCAGCCACACUGGGACUGAGACACGGCCCAGACUCCUACGGGAGGCAGCAGUGGGGAAUCUUGCGCUAAUGCGGGAAACCGUGACGCAGCGACGCCGCGUGGGGGAAGAAGGCCUUCGGGUUGUAAACCUCUUUCAGGAGGGACGAAGCUACUCGGGUUAAUAGCCCAGAGGGUGACGGUACCUCCAGAAGAAGCCCCGGCUAACUACGUGCCAGCCGCCGCAGUAACAC